CGUCUUCUCCGGUAUUCAGCGAAAUCCCGAUUGACAUGGAUAUCAGCCAAAUAAAGGACGUGAACUGUUCCGGUGCUGCCGCUCCUGCAGAUGAAACGAUGGACCUUGAUCUGACGUCACUCGACCAUACAGCCAACGAUACAUCAGUCGAGAUAAUAGCACCUCCUGUGUCCACCAUGGAGGAUUCAUCUCUCACUCCAAGUAAUGAUGAGCUGUCCCUACAGGAUUCAUCACCAAGUGUCCGUGGUUCC